ACAAACUCCGAAUGCCAAUUAAUUUAACUUGGGAGUCAGAACAUGGGUGAUAAGGUCCGUGUUCGAAAGGGAAACAGCCCAGACCACCAGCUAAGGUCCCAAAAUAUAUGUUAAGUGGAAAAGGAUGUGGCGUUGCCCAGACAACUAGGAUGUUGGCUUAGAAGCAGCCAUCAUUUAAAGAGUGCGUAAUAGCUCACUAGUCGAGUGACACUGCGCCGAAAAUGUACCGGGGCUAAACAUAUUACCGAAGCUGUGGAUUGUCCUUUGGACAAUGGUAGGAGAGCGUUCUAAGGGCGUUGAAGCAUGAUCGUAAGGACAUGUGGAGCGCUUAGAAGUGAGAAUGCCGGUGUGAGUAGCGAAAGACGGGUGAGAAUCCCGUCCACCGAUUGACUAAGGUUUCCAGAGGAAGGCUCGUCCGCUCUGGGUUAGUCGGGUCCUAAGCUGAGGCCGACAGGCGUAGGCGAUGGAUAACAGGUUGAUAUUCCUGUACCACCUAUAAUCGUUUUAAUCGAUGGGGGGACGCAGUAGGAUAGGCGAAGCGUGCGAUUGGAUUGCACGUCUAAGCAGUAAGGCUGAGUAUUAGGCAAAUCCGGUACUCGUUAAGGCUGAGC
rnacentral:rRNA from 1 species